GGUUGUGGCUCAGUGGUAGAGCGAUUGCUUAGCAUGUCUGAGGCUCUGGGUUCGUUCCCCAGCACCA
rnacentral:tRNA from 1 species